rnacentral:rRNA from 1 species
GGGGAGAGUGGAAUUCCAUGUGUAGCGGUGAAAUGCGUAGAUAUAUGGAGGAACACCGGUGGCGAAAGCGGCUCUCUGGUCUGUAACUGACGCUGAGGCUCGAAAGCGUGGGAGCAAACAGGAUUAGAUACCCUGGUAGUCCACGCCGUAAACGAUGAGUGCUAGGUGUUGGGUCCUUUCCGGGACUCAGUGCCGCAGCUAACGCAUUAAGCACUCCGCCUGGGGAGUACGACCGCAAGGUUGAAACUCAAAGGAAUUGACGGGGGCCCGCACAAGCGGUGGAGCAUGUGGUUUAAUUCGAAGCAACGCGAAGAACCUUACCAGGUCUUGACAUCCCGGUGCCCGUCCUAGAGAUAGGAUUUUGCUUCGGCACACCGGUGACAGGUGGUGCAUGGUUGUCGUCAGCUCGUGUCGUGAGAUGUUGGGUUAAGUCCCGCAACGAGCGCAACCCUUAUUGUUAGUUGCCAUCAUUCAGUUGGGCACUCUAGCGAGACUGCCGGUAAUAAACCGGAGGAAGGUGGGGAUGACGUCAAAUCAUCAUGCCCCUUAUGACCUGGGCUACACACGUGCUACAAUGGCUGGUACAACGAGUCGCAAGUCGGUGACGGCAAGCUAAUCUCUUAAAGCCAGUCUCAGUUCGGAUUGUAGGCUGCAACUCGCCUACAUGAAGUCGGAAUCGCUAGUAAUCGCGGAUCAGCACGCCGCGGUGAAUACGUUCCCGGGCCUUGUACACACCGCCCGUCACACCACGAGAGUUUGUAACACCCGAAGUCGGUGAGGUAACCUUUUAGGAGCCAGCCGCCUAAGGUGGGAUAGGUGAUUGGGGUGAAGUCGUAACAAGGUAGCCG